AACGAACGCUGGCGGCAUGCCUAACACAUGCAAGUCGAACGAGACCUUCGGGUCUAGUGGCGCACGGGUGCGUAACGCGUGGGAACCUGCCCUUAGGUUCGGAAUAACUCCCCGAAAGGGGUGCUAAUACCGGAUAAUGUCUUCGGACCAAAGAUUUAUCGCCUUUGGAUGGGCCCGCGUUGGAUUAGCUAGUUGGUAGGGUAAAAGCCUACCAAGGCGACGAUCCAUAGCUGGUCUGAGAGGAUGAUCAGCCACACUGGGACUGAGACACGGCCCAGACUCCUACGGGAGGCAGCAGUGGGGAAUAUUGGACAAUGGGCGAAAGGCUGAUCCAGCAAUGCCGGGUGAGUGAUGAAGGCCUUAGGGUUGUAAAGCGCUUUUAACCGGGAUGAUAAUGACAGUACCGGGAGAAUAAGCUCCGGCUAACUCCGUG
rnacentral:rRNA from 1 species